AAAGUACCAAGGCAAGAAAAUGAAAUGCAGAGUUGAUCUACAACAACAACAAGAGCAUAUUUUAGAAGUGAAAACACGUGAUAGGAGGAUUUUAAGUUCCUCAUGCUUAAAUUCCUUUCCUUUUACCAUAUAAUUCAUGAGUUUUAUUCCACCAUUUGGGUGCCAACUAAAAGUAACUAAAUCCAAGCUGAUUUAAUAGACCACUUAGUUAUUAAUUGCGGCAUUAUUGCCCUCAAAAACAUCUUGCAAAAGAAAACAUAUACUGCAACGUAG
rnacentral:misc_RNA from 1 species